rnacentral:tRNA from 2 species
GCGGGCUUAGCUCAGUUGGUAGAGCAUCAGCUUCCCAAGCUGAGGGUCGCGGGUCCGAGUCCCGUAGCCCGCUCCA